rnacentral:tRNA from 1 species
GCCGGAUUAGCUCAGCGGUAGAGCAACUGUCUUGUAAACAGUAGGUCGUCAGUUCGAACCCGACAUCCGGCACCA